rnacentral:snRNA from 1 species
GAAUGUGAGGACAAUCUGGCUGUGCCAUCUGUCAUCCCACCGAUUACCAGGGUUGAUUUGGCUGAUCUGAGUGGCUGGGCAGAUGUCCCCUCUCUCCCUCACUACUCCAAGUACGUCCUUCCAGAAGCUGUGUGCUGACUCAAAGAGGGCAACCUUCCCCUGUAGAAGAGGACUGUUCUUCCGUCAAGGAUAUAUAAGUAGCUGCACUCCCCUGCUAGAACCUCCAAACAAGCUCUCAAGAGGAUGUAGUGUCAGGAACCUGGAGAACAUGCCCUUCAAUGGGAUGCAUGGUGCAUAAGUCAGGGUAACCACCAGGAAGUACUGCUGCUCCUGGAAGGAACUAAGAUCC